GAUGAACGCUGGCGGCGUGCCUAAUACAUGCAAGUCGAGCGAACGGACGAGAAGCUUGCUUCUCUGAUGUUAGCGGCGGACGGGUGAGUAACACGUGGAUAACCUACCUAUAAGACUGGGAUAACUUCGGGAAACCGGAGCUAAUACCGGAUGAUAUUUUGAACCGCAUGGUUCAAAAGUGAAAGACGGUCUUGCUGUCACUUAUAGAUGGAUCCGCGCUGCAUUAGCUAGUUGGUAAGGUAACGGCUUACCAAGGCAACGGUGCAUAGCCGACCUGAGAGGGUGAUCGGCCACACUGGAACUGAGACACGGUCCAGACUCCUACGGGAGGCAGCAGUAGGGAAUCUUCCGCAAUGGGCGAAAGCCUGACGGAGCAACGCCGCGUGAGUGAUGAAGGUCUUCGGAUCGUAAAACUCUGUUAUUAGGGAAGAACAUAUGUGUAAGUAACUGUGCACAUCUUGACGGUACCUAUCAGAAAGCCACGGCUAACUACGUG
rnacentral:rRNA from 1 species